rnacentral:snoRNA from 1 species
UCCCAGUGAAGAAUUCUUGCAUUUCAAUUCCUGUUCUAGCCCCAGAGCUUCCUGAAGACGAACUUACUGGGGCUGGCGGAAAAAGAGAAGAACAUUGUUCCAGAAGGAAUUUCCCGAGGGAU